rnacentral:rRNA from 1 species
GCCUACGGGACGCAGCAGUGGGGGAUAUUGCACAAUGGGGGAAACCCUGAUGCAGCGACGCCGCGUGGGUGAAGAAGCGCCUCGGCGCGUAAAGCCCUGUCAGCAGGGAAGAAAAUGACGGUACCUGAAGAAGAAGCCCCGGCUAACUACGUGCCAGCAGCCGCGGUAAUACGUAGGGGGCAAGCGUUAUCCGGAUUUACUGGGUGUAAAGGGGGCGCAGACGGCGAUGCAAGCCAGGAGUGAAAGCCCGGGUCCCAACCCCGGGACUGCUCUUGGAACUGCGUGGCUAGAGUGCAGGAGGGGCG